rnacentral:rRNA from 1 species
GACGAACGCUGGCGGCGUGCUUAACACAUGCAAGUCGAACGGAAAGGCCCUGCUUUUGUGGGGUGCUCGAGUGGCGAACGGGUGAGUAACACGUGAGUAACCUGCCCUUGACUUUGGGAUAAUUUCAGGAAACUGGGGCUAAUACCGGAUAGGAGCUCCUGCUGCAUGGUGGGGGUUGGAAAGUUUCGGCGGUUGGGGAUGGACGCGCGGCUUAUCAGCUUGUUGGUGGGGUAGUGGCUUACCCAGGCUUUGACGGGUAGCCGGCCUGAGAGGGUGACCGGCCACAUUGGGACUGAGAGACGGCGCAGAGUCCUACGGGAGGCAGCAGGGGGGAAUAUUGCACAAUGGGGGGAAGCCUGAGGCGGCAACGCCGCGUGCGGGAUGACGGCCUUCGGGUUGUAAACCGCUUUCGCCUGUGACGAAGCGUGAGUGACGGUAAUGGGAAAAGAAGCACCGGCUAACUACGUG